rnacentral:rRNA from 1 species
AUGAACGCUAGCUACAGGCUUAACACAUGCAAGUCGAGGGGCAGCAUGGUCUUAGCUUGCUAAGGCCGAUGGCGACCGGCGCACGGGUGAGUAACACGUAUCCAACCUGCCGUCUACUCUUGGACAGCCUUCUGAAAGGAAGAUUAAUACAAGAUGGCAUCAUGAGUCCGCAUGUUCACAUGAUUAAAGGUAUUCCGGUAGACGAUGGGGAUGCGUUCCAUUAGAUAGUAGGCGGGGUAACGGCCCACCUAGUCUUCGAUGGAUAGGGGUUCUGAGAGGAAGGUCCCCCACAUUGGAACUGAGACACGGUCCAAACUCCUACGGGAGGCAGCAGUGAGGAAUAUUGGUCAAUGGGCGAGAGCCUGAACCAGCCAAGUAGCGUGAAGGAUGACUGCCCUAUGGGUUGUAAACUUCUUUUAUAAAGGAAUAAAGUCGGGUAUGGAUACCCGUUUGCAUGUACUUUAUGAAUAAGGAUCGGCUAACUCCGUGCCAGCAGCCGCGGUAAUACGGAGGAUCCGAGCGUUAUCCGGAUUUAUUGGGUUUAAAGGGAGCGUAGAUGGAUGUUUAAGUCAGUUGUGAAAGUUUGCGGCUCAACCGUAAAAUUGCAGUUGAUACUGGAUAUCUUGAGUGCAGUUGAGGCAGGCGGAAUUCGUGGUGUAGCGGUGAAAUGCUUAGAUAUCACGAAGAACUCCGAUUGCGAAGGCAGCCUGCUAAGCUGCAACUGACAUUGAGGCUCGAAAGUGUGGGUAUCAAACAGGAUUAGAUACCCUGGUAGUCCACACGGUAAACGAUGAAUACUCGCUGUUUGCGAUAUACAGCAAGCGGCCAAGCGAAAGCGUUAAGUAUUCCACCUGGGGAGUACGCCGGCAACGGUGAAACUCAAAGGAAUUGACGGGGGCCCGCACAAGCGGUGGAGUAUGUGGUUUAAUUCGAAGCAACGCGAAGAACCUUACCUGCUCUUGACAUCUCCCUGACCGGCAAGUAAUGUUGCCUUUCCUUCGGGACAGGGAUGACAGGUGGUGCAUGGUUGUCGUCAGCUCGUGCCGUGAGGUGUCGGCUUAAGUGCCAUAACGAGCGCAACCCUUGUUGUCAGUUACUAACAGGUUCCGCUGAGGACUCUGACAAGACUGCCAUCGUAAGAUGUGAGGAAGGUGGGGAUGACGUCAAAUCAGCACGGCCCUUACGUCCGGGGCUACACACGUGUUACAAUGGGGGGUACAGAGGGCCGCUACCACGCGAGUGGAUGCCAAUCCCCAAAACCUCUCUCAGUUCGGACUGGAGUCUGCAACCCGACUCCACGAAGCUGGAUUCGCUAGUAAUCGCGCAUCAGCCACGGCGCGGUGAAUACGUUCCCGGGCCUUGUACACACCGCCCGUCAAGCCAUGGGAGCCGGGGGUACCUGAAGUGCGUAACCGCGAGGAGCGCCCUAGGGUAAAACUGGUGACUGGGGCU